UACGUAGGGUGCAAGCGUUAAUCGGAAUUACUGGGCGUAAAGCGUGCGCAGGCGGUGAUGUAAGACCGAUGUGAAAUCCCCGGGCUUAACCUGGGAACUGCAUUGGUGACUGCAUCGCUCGAGUAUGGCAGAGGGGGGUAGAAUUCCGCGUGUAGCAGUGAAAUGCGUAGAGAUGUGGAGGAAUACCGAUGGCGAAGGCAGCCCCCUGGGUCGAUACUGACGCUCAUGCACGAAAGCGUGGGGAGCAAACAGG
rnacentral:rRNA from 1 species